rnacentral:rRNA from 1 species
UACGAGGUCGUCAGCGUGUUCGGAUUCAUUGGGCGUAAAGGGUGCGUAGGCGGCGCGGUAAGUCGGGUGUGAAAUCUCGGAGCUUAACUCCGAAACUGCAUUCGAUACUGCCGUGCUUGAGGACUGGAGAGGAGACUGGAAUUUACGGUGUAGCGGUGAAAUGCGUAGAUAUCGUAAGGAAGACCAGUGGCGAAGGCGGGUCUCUGGACAGUUCCUGACGCUGAGGCACGAAGGUCAGGGGAGCAAACGGG